UAGGGAAUCUUCCACAAUGGGCGCAAGCCUGAUGGAGCAACGCCGCGUGAGUGAAGAAGGUCUUCGGAUCGUAAAACUCUGUUGUUAGAGAAGAACACGAGUGAGAGUGGAAAGUUCACACAGUGACGGUAACUUACCAGAAAGGGACGGCUAACUACGUGCCA
rnacentral:rRNA from 1 species